GACGAACGCUGGCGGCGCGCUUAAUACAUGCAAGUCGAGCGAGAACUAGGGCUUCGGCCCUGGGGACAGCGGCGAACGGGUGAGUAACACGUGGGUAAUCAACCCCCGACACCGGGAUAGCCCAGGGAAACUUGGAUUAAUACCGGAUGCCCCAUCUGGCUUUCGAGCCGGCUGGAAAAGGGUAGCUUCGGCCUCCGGUCGGGGACGAGCCCGCGGCGGAUUAGCUUGUUGGGGAGGUAAAGGCUCACCAAGGCGACGAUCCGUAGCUGGUCGGAGAGGACGAUCAGCCACACUGGGACUGAGACACGGCCCAGACUCCUACGGGAGGCAGCAGUAGGGAAUCUUGCGCAAUGGGCGAAAGCCUGACGCAGCGACGCCGCGUGAGGGAAGAAGGCCUUCGGGUUGUAAACCUCUUUCAGGAGGGACGAAGCCACUCGGGUUAAUAGCCUAGAGGGUGACGGUACCUCCAGAAGAAGCCCCGGCUAACUACGUGCCAGCCGCCGCGGUAA
rnacentral:rRNA from 1 species